GUUGAAAAUAAGCAGCUUACGGUGGAUACCUAGGCGCCCAGAGAUAAAAAAUGGCGUAGUAAUCGACAAAAUGCUUCGGAGAGUUAAAAAUAAGCAUAGAUCUAGAGAUUCCCGAAUAGGGCAACCUUUCGAACUGCUACUGAAUCCAUGGGCAGGCAAGAGACAACAUAGCGAACUAAAACAUCUCAGUAGCCAGAGGAAAAGAAAGCAAAAAUUAUUCCCAUAGUAGCGGCGAGCGAAAUGGGAGCAGCCUAAACCAUGAAAAUGGGCUUGUGGGAGAGCAAUACAAGCGUCGUGCUGCUAGGUGAAGCAGUAUGAAUGUUGCACCCUAGAUGGUGAAAGUCCAAUAGCUGAAAGCAUUACUAGCUUACGCUCUGACCCGAGUAGCAUUGGGUAUGUGGAAUCCCGAGUGAAUCAGCAAGGACCACCUUGCAAGGCUAAAUACUCCUGGGUGACCAAUAGCGAAGUAAUACCAUGAGGGAAGGGUGAAAAGAACCCCAUCGGGGAGUGAAAUAGAACAUGAAACCGUAAGCUCCCAAGUAGUAGGAGUAGCCAGGGCUCUGACCGCAUGCCUAUUGAAGAAUGAGCCGGCGACUCAUAGGCAGUAGCUUGGUUAGGGGAACCCACCGGAGCUGUAGCGAAAGUGAGUCUUCAUAGGGAAAUUGUCACUGCUUAUGGACCCAAACCUAGGUGAUCUAUCCAUGACCAGGAUGAAGCUUGGGUGAAACUAAGUGAAGGUCCGAACCGACUGAUGUUGAAGAAUCACCGGAUGAGUUAUGGUUAGGGGUAAAAUACCACUCGAACCCAGAGCUAACUGGUUCUCCCCAAAAUGCAUUAAGGCGCAGCAGUUGAUUGGACAUCUAGGAGUAAAGCACUAUUUCGGUACAGACCGCGAGAGCGGUACCAAAUCAAGGCAAACUCUAAAUACUAGAUAUGACCUCAAAAUAACAGGGGUCAAUGUCAGCUAGUGAGACGUUGGGGGAUAAGCUUCAUCGGCAAGAGGGAAAUAGCUCGGAUCACCAACUAAGGCCCCUAAAUAAUGGAGAGCUAGGAUAAGCUUCAUCGUCGAGAGGGAAACAGCCCGGAUCACCAGCUAAGGCCCCUAAAUGACCGCUCAGUGAUAAAGGGGGUAGGGGUGCAGAGAUAGCCACGAGGUUUGCCUAGAAGCAGCCACCCUUGAAUGAGUGCGUAAUAGCUCACUGAUCGAGCGCUCUUGCGCCAAAAAUGAACGGGGCUAAGCGAUCUGCCGAAGCUAUGGGAUUUAAAAAUACAUUAGUAGGGGAGCUUUCUGCCUUAGAGGGAAGCCUCCGCGUGAGCAGUAGUGGACGAAGCAAAAGCGAGAAUGUCAGCUUGAGUAACGCAAACAUUGGUGAGAAUCCAAUGCCCUAAAAACCUUGGGGUUUCUCCGCAAGGUUCGUCCACGGAGGGUGAGUCAGGGCCUAAAAUCAGGCCGAAAGGCGUAGUCGAUGGAGAACAGGUGAAUAUUAUUAUACUACCCCUUGUUAGUCCUAAGGGAUGGAGGAGGCUAGGUUAGUCAAAAGAUGGUUAUCGGUUCAAGAACGUAAGGUGUCCCUGCUUUUUCAGGGUAAGAAGGGGUAGAGAAAAUACCUCGAGCCAAUGUUCAAAUACCAGGCGCUACGGUGCUGAAGUAACCCAUGCCAUACUCCCAGGAAAAGCUCAAACGACUUGAAGCAAGAGGGUACCUAUACCCGAAACCAACACAGGUCGUUAGGUAGAGAAUACCUAGGGGUGCGAGACAACUUUCUCUAAGGAACUCAGCAAAAUAGACUCAUAACUUUGGGAGAAGGGGUGCCUCCUCACAAAGAGGGUCGCAGUGACCAGGCCCGGGCAACUAUUUACUAAGAACACAGGUCUCCGCAAAGUCGUAAGACUAUGUAUGGGGUUGACGCCUACCCAGUGCCAGAAGGUCAAGGAAGUUGGUGACCUGAUGACAGGGGAGCCGAUGAUCGAAGCCUUGGUGAAUGGCGGCCAUAAAUAUAACGGUCCUAAGGUAGAAAAAUUCCUUAUCGGGUAAGUUUCGACCUGCACAAAAGGCGUAAUGAUCUAGGCACUAUCUCGGAGAGAGGCUCAGUGAAAUAGACAUGUCUGUGAAGAUGCGGACUACCUGCACCUGGCAGAAAUACCCUAUGAAGCUUCACUGUUCCCUUGGAUUUGCUUUGGGCCUUUCCUGUGCAGCUUAGGUGGAAGGCGAAGAAGGCCUCCUUCCUAGGGGGCCCGAGCCAUCAAUGAGAUACCACUCUAGAAGGGCUAGAAUUCUAACCCUGUGUUAAGACCUACGGGCCAAGCGACAGUCUCAGGUAGAUAGUUUCUAUAGGGCGUAGGCCUCCCAAAAGGUAAUGGAGGCAUCCAAAGGUUUCCUCGGGCCGGAUGGAGAUUGGCCCUCGAGUGCAAAGGCAGAAGGGAGCUUGACUACAAGACCCACUCAUCGAGCAGGGACGAAAGUCAGCCUUAGUGAUCUGAUGGUGCUGAGUGGAAGGGUCGUCGCUCAAUGGAUAAAAGUUACUCUAGGGAUAACAGGUUGAUCUUCCCCAAGAGCUCACAUCAACGGGAAGGUUUGGCACCUCGAUGUCGGCUCUUCGCCACCUGGGGCUGUAGUAUGUUCCAAAGGUUGGGCUGUUUGCCCAUUAAAGCGGUAUGUGAGCUGGGUUCAGAACGUCGUGAGAUAGUUUGGUCCAUAUUCGGUGUGGGCGUUAAAGCAUUGAGAGGACCUUUCCCUAGUACAAGAGGACCAGGAAGGAUGUACCUCUGGUGUACCAGUUAUCGUGUCCAUGGUAAAUGCUGGGUAGCCAAGUGCAGAGCGGAUAACUACUGAAAGCAUCUAAGUAGUAAGCCUACCCCAAGAUGAGUGCUCUCCUAUUCCAACUUCCCCAGAGCUUCCGAUAGCACAUCCGAGAUAGCGAUGGGUUCUCUACCCCUGCGGGGAUGAAGCAACAAAAGUUUUUUUGAGAAUUCAAGAGAAGGUCACAGCGAGAUGAGCCAUUUAUCAUUAUGAUUGGUGUCAAGUGGAAGUGUAGUGAUGUAUGCAGCUAAGGCAUCCUAACAGACCUGUACACUUGAACCU
rnacentral:rRNA from 1 species